GCCAGGUGUGGUGGUGCACACCUGUAGUCCCAGCUACUGGGAGGCUGAGGCAGGAGAAUCACUUGAACCUGGGAGGCAGAGGUUGCAGUGAGCCAAGAUUGUGCCAUUGCACUCCAGCCUGGGUGACAGAGCGAGACUCUGUCUCAG
ensembl:misc_RNA Metazoa_SRP Metazoan signal recognition particle RNA